AGCGAACGCUGGCGGCAGGCCUAACACAUGCAAGUCGAACGAACCUUUCGGGGUUAGUGGCGGACGGGUGAGUAACACGUGGGAACGUGCCUUUAGGUUCGGAAUAACUCAGGGAAACUUGUGCUAAUACCGAAUGUGCCCUUCGGGGGAAAGAUCUAUCGCCUUUAGAGCGGCCCGCGUCUGAUUAGCUAGUUGGUUGAGGUAAUGGCUCACCAAGGCGACGAUCAGUAGCUGGUCUGAGAGGAUGAUCAGCCACAUUGGGACUGAGACACGGCCCGAACUCCUACGGGAGGCAGCAGUGGGGAAUCUUGCGCAAUGGGCGAAAGCCUGACGCAGCCAUGCCGCGUGAAUGAUGAAGGUCUUAGGAUUGUAAAAUUCUUUCACCGGGGACGAUAAUGACGGUACCCGGAGAAGAAGCCCCGGCUAACUUCGUG
rnacentral:rRNA from 1 species